UGAAAUGCCACAUGUGGUUCCUAUUAUAUUAAUAUUUCUACUGGAGCACAACUUUGGGAUCCUGAGACAACCUUGAGAACAAGGGCGGAAAGGAAUCCAUAAUGAAGAGCUGAAGGUGACAGGAGUUCUCAUCACACUAACUGAUCCUCAGGAGUCAAGUGUGUGACCGUUAAGAGUAAAGCUUAAACAGCCCAACGGAAGAUCAGAGAACCAUGGCUUCACUUGUGUCCCACAUCCUGACGACACUUUCAGGAAAAUAUAGCCAAAUGGGAAAGCCCAGGGCAGCUGCCUCACUUGCAGCAGGCUUAAAGAAAAUACCACCCAAGCCGCUGGGAUUAUCAUUUUAAUAAAGAAUCCUCACGAGUGCUGAUCAGAGUCACCCUACAGGACAGAUGCUCUGCAGGAUCAAAUGGGCUUCCAGUGGAGUCUGGAAAACCCGCCUGGUUUCUGUGAUGCUGAAACCUCCACCAAAUGGAAGAAAUUAACCACCUGAGGCCAUGAGCAGACAGCCCCCAGACCUCCUGGAGCCGAAGGACUGACAAUGUUACCCAUGCUGUCACCACACCAUCAGCCAGUCAGAGAAGCGUGCACCAGCGAGGACACACUCCCUCUCCUUGCCUUUAAAGAUGCUUUACCAAAAGCCACGGGGAGUUCAGCUGUUUUGAGCACGAGCUGCCCUGGACCCCCUGCUUGGCGCCCUGAAUAAACACUGCCCUUUCCUUCACCACAACCUGGUGUCAGGAGACUGACUUCACUGUGUGUGGGUGAGCAGGCCUGAGUUUGGUUCAGCAACAGUAGCACAUGGACACUACUAGGUACUUAACAAGUAUGAGUCUUCUUCAUUCAUUAAAAAACAACG